rnacentral:misc_RNA from 1 species
CUUCCAUUUGCUGACAUGGUAGUCAAUCUCCACAACCAGCUUUGCAAAAGCUUUAUUGAUCAUGGGUAGGAUCUGAAAACAUUUCUGAAUCCAUUCCAGGGACAGGGAUUCCAAUCCAGGAUCCGAAUUUAACAACAACUGGGUUAUAAAACUCGAAACAUCAGAUCGAAAGGCCUGUAAAGAAGCUGAUAAUGNNUGCUUCAGGCUGAGGGUGGUUGUGGUGAUUCUCCAGCUUGGAGUAUAAUUUGCUAAGCCUUUCUACCAAGAGUACCAUUGACAACUCAAUACAAAAGAGAGGUU